UCUCUGUUAGUAUAUCGGUUAGUACACGCGCCUGUCAUUCAUUUCUGCAAUGAUCGCGCGAAAGCUGGGUUCGACUCCCAGACAGAGAG